ACUAGCGUUGUUCGGCAUUACUGGGCGUAAAGCGCACGUAGGCGGAUUGUUAAGUCAGGGGUGAAAUCCCGAGGCUCAACCUCGGAACUGCCUUUGAUACUGGCAGGCUUGAAUCCGGGAGAGGGAUGUGGAAUUCCAGGUGUAGCGGUGAAAUGCGCAGAUAUCUGGAGGAACACCGGUGGCGAAGGCGGCAUCCUGGACCGGCAUUGACGCUGAGGCGCGAAAGCCAGGGGAGCAAACGGG
rnacentral:rRNA from 1 species